rnacentral:lncRNA from 1 species
AGUUAAUUUUAUUUAUUGUUUGUAUUAAAUUAAAAUCUUGCAUAUAUAUAUGUUUUAAAUCAAACAUAAAUAAGGGUAGCUCGCAGGAACAAGGAAAUUCUCCACCCGCAAGGCUAUUAACCUGCAGACAUGCACGGGUUUCACUUGCUAAGACCGCAAGCUUGGCAGCCUACAGGCACGCAAUGGCCUAUGCGUGUCAGCCGCACAUGGCUUCAUAGGUCCGUAUGAGGGAACACCGGGUGUUUUGCCCACAAGCUGCAAAACACUAUCCAUUUACUAGGGGAAAGCUUUCCCGCAAAUAGUUGGUUCGCUUGCGCAUUUCUGGCUUAGAUUUUUGAUUUGACACCACUAACCCAACCUUUAAUGGCAUUUUGGUGGCCUAGCAAAAAAACCUAGCUACCUAGGCGAUUGUCGAGCUCUAACCUUCUUCCUUUGUUGGCUACAGCCAUUUAUGGGCAGCAAUGGCCCCAAUGGAAUGCAUGUAAUCCAAUGAUGGCCUUUUGAUCUCUAAAUCCUUUUUAAACCUUCCACUUUCAAUCAUCUUCUUUCCCAUUUUGGGCUGAGCAAUUUUGAGUACAAAUUGAGAGAAACAGAGGGUGCUAAUGAGGAAAGAGAAGUUUGCAGUGUGCAAAGAAUAAACCUAUAUCGAGGGGGAGGCAUGGUACAUGUGUUUGAAAAAUUCUACUGCUGUUCAGAUUUAGGUGAGUCCCUUUCCUUCAUAACUUGUUUCCCUAUGAUCUUUUAGCAUCUAAGCAAUAAUUUCUUGAAUAAUUUACCUAUGCAAAUGCUUAUCUACCAAUUUAUAAAUGUUAUAACAGAUUAUUCCUCAUCUUACCUUAAAGAAGAUCUCAAUUUAGACUCAAAAGCACAAAGAAAAAAGGAGUUUGUGAUUAAGAAUCAAUUUUGCACCUCACCAUGAAACUGUUGCAAAACUCAUGAAGCAUUUUGAGGUAGAUUCAAUUUAAGAGUGAUUUAGCUUUCAAAAAUGAAUUUCUAAUAUUCCUAACCUAUUCUAACCACUAACUACCUAAGAUUGUGAAAAAGAAGUGAAAUGGACAAUCUUUAGUAGAAAAUAGAGGUCCUACUUGCACAGUUCGCGAUGGUAGGUGCAACAGCAAAAAAGCUUUAGGUUUCAAGCUUGCUGUAGUUUCUAGGGUUAAGGAACUGUAAAAUGGAUGCUUAGAUGCUAAAGGAUAGAAAAAAACAAGUUGUAAGGGAAAUGGACUUACCUAAAUUGGAACAGAAGUAGAAUUUCUCGAAUAUACGCCCCAGACAUCCCCCUCGGUACAGGUUUUUUCUUUGCACUCUACAUACUUGUCUUCCCUCACCAAACACCCUAUGUUUCUCUCAAUUUGCACUCAAAAUUGCCCAGCACAAAAUGGGGAAAAAGAUGACCCAAAGAGGAACAUUUAAAGGGGAUUUAGAGAUUAAAAGGCCAUUCUUGGAUUACAUGCAUUCCAUUAGGGUCGUUGCUACCCAGAAAUGGCCGAUAGCUAGCAGAGGAAAACGGUUGGAGCUCGAUAGCUAUCCAACUAACUAGGAUUCUUAUGCCAAAUGGCCAAAAUGCCAUUAAAGAGUAGGUUAAUGGUGUCAAAUCGAAAACCCAAAUUUAGAGUUUUUUUGCAGAUCAACUACUCAUAGGAAAGUUGUCUGCAGGGAAGCGAACAAAGUCUCGUGACUAGUGGGCAAAGUGACCGUUGUUCCCUCGUACAGAUGUGUCAACCCAUGUGUAGCUGUCACACACACGCCAUCGCAUAUCUGUGGGCUGCCAAGCUUACGAACUUGGCAGGUAAAAUUUGUGCAUGUCUGCAGGUUAGUAUACCCACAAGUUUAUGGCUUCAUGGUGGGGAAUUUCCUUGCUCCUGUGGG